CAGCCGCCGCGGUAAUACAGAGGGUGCGAGCGUUAAUCGGAUUUACUGGGCGUAAAGCGUGCGUAGGCGGCUUCUUAAGUCGGAUGUGAAAUCCCUGAGCUUAACUUAGGAAUUGCAUUCGAUACUGGGAAGCUAGAGUAUGGGAGAGGAUGGUAGAAUUCCAGGUGUAGCGGUGAAAUGCGUAGAGAUCUGGAGGAAUACCGAUGGCGAAGGCAGCCAUCUGGCCUAAUACUGACGCUGAGGUACGAAAGCAUGGGGAGCAAACAGGAUUAGAUACCCGGGUAGUCCCUGUCUCUUAUAU
rnacentral:rRNA from 1 species